rnacentral:rRNA from 1 species
UACGUAGGGUGCAAGCGUUAAUCGGAAUUACUGGGCGUAAAGCGUGCGCAGGCGGUGAUGUAAGACAGGUGUGAAAUCCCCGGGCUCAACCUGGGAACUGCAUCUGUGACUGCAUUGCUGGAGUGCGGCAGAGGGGGAUGGAAUUCCGCGUGUAGCAGUGAAAUGCGUAGAGAUGUGGAGGAAUACCGAUGGCGAAGGCAGCCCCCUGGGUCAAUACUGACGCUCAUGCACGAAAGCGUGGGGAGCAAACAGG